GCAGGAUGUGGGUGGGGCCAGAUAAGAGAAGAAAAGCAGGCUGCCUGAGCCAGCAGUGGCAACCCGCUCGGGUCCCCUUCCACACUGUGGAAGCUUUGUUCUUUAGCUCUUUGCAAUAAAUCUUGCUGCUGCUCACUCUUUGGGUCCACACUGCCUUUACGAGCUGUAACACUCACCGCGAAGGUCUGCAGCUUCACUCCUGAAGCCAGUGAGACCACGAACCCACCAGGAGGAACAAACAACUCCAGAUGUGCUGCCUUAAGAGCUGUAACACUCACCGCGAAGGUCUGCAGCUUCAGUCCUAAGCCAGCAAGACCACGAACCCACCAGAAGGAAGAAACUCUGAACACAUCCAAACAUCAGAAGGAACAAACUCUGGACAUGCCGCCUUUAAGAACUGUGACACUCACCACGAGGGUCCGUGGCUUCAUUCUUGAAGUCAGUGAGACCAAGAACCCACCAAUUCCAGACACAUUUUGGCAACCACAAAGGGACUAUCACCUAUUGCCAAGCGGUGAGACUAUCGCCAAGUGGUGAGACCAUCGUCUAUCGCUGAGCAGCAAAACAAUCGCCUAUCGCCAAGCAAAUCGAAGCCAUCAAGCUACAGAUGGUCUUACAAAUGGAACCCCAAAUGAGUUCAACUAACAACUUCUACCGAGGACCCCUGGACCGACCCGCUGGCACUUCCACUGGCCUAGAGAGUUCCCCCUUGGAGGACACUACAACUGCAGGGCCCCUUCUUCACUUCUAUCCAGCAGGAAGUAGCUAGAGCAGUCAUCGGCCAAAUUCCCAACAGCAGUUGGGGUGUCCUGUUUAGAGGGGGGAUUGAGAGGUGGCAGUGUGCUGGCAGCCCUCGCAGCCCUCGCUCACUCUUGGCUCCUCCUCGGCCUUGGCGCCCACUCUGGCCAUGCUUAAGGAGCCCUUCAGCCUGCCACUGCACUGUGGGAACACUGGCCAAGGCCAGAGCCAGCUCACUCAGCUUGUGGGGAAGUGUGGAGGGAGAGGCGCAGGCGGGAACUGGGGCUGCAUGCGGCGCUUGCGGGCCAGCGUGAGUUCCGGGUGGUUGUGGGCUUGGCGGGCCCCAGACUCGGAGCGGCUGGCCUGCCCUGCUGGCCCCAGGCAGUGAGGGGCUUAGCACCCAGGCCAGCAGCUGUGGAUGGUGCGCUGAGUCUCCCAGCAGUGCUGGCCCACCCCACCAGCACUGCACUCGAUUUCUCGCCAGGCCUUAGCUGCCUCCCCGCAGGGCAGGCCUUGGGACCUGCAGCCCACCAUGCCUGAGUCUCCCCUGCUGCCGCCGUGGGCUCCUGCGUGGCCCAAGCCUCCCCGACGAGCACUGCCCCCUGCUCCCCGGUGCCUGGUCCCAUCGACCGCCCAAGGGCUGAGGAGUGCAGGUGCAUGGUGCGGGACUGGCAGGCAGCUCCACCUGCGGCCCCAGUGCAGGAAGCCAGCUGGGCUCCUGAGUCUGGUGGGGACUUGGAGAAUUUUUAUGUCUAGCUAAGGGAUUGUAAAUACACCAAUCAGCACUCUGUAUCUAGCUCAAGGAUUGUAAAUACACCAAUCAGCACCCUGUGUCUAGCUCAGGGUUUGUCAAUGCACCAAUCGGCACUCUGUAUCUAGUUAAUCUGGUGGGGAGUUGGAGAAUCUUUAUGUCUAGCUAAGGGAUUGUAAAUACACCAAUCAGCACUCUGUAUCUAGCUCAAGGUUUGUAAACACACCAAUCAGAACCCUGUGUCUAGCUCAGGGUUUGUGAAUGCACCAAUCAGCACUCUGUAUCUAGUUAAUCUGGUGGGGACUUGGAGAAUCUUUAUGUCUAGCUAAGGGAUUGUGAAUGCACCAAUCGGCACUCUGUAUCUAGCUCAAGGUUUGUAAAUGGACCAAUCAGCACUCUAUGUCUAGCUCAGUGUUUGUAAAUACACCAAUCGACACUCUAUCUAGCUAAUCUAGUGGGGACGUGGAGAACUUUUGUGUCUAACUCAGGGAUUGUAAAUGCACCAAUCAGAACCCUGUCAAAAUGGACCAAUAGCUCUCUGUAAAACAGACUGACUUUCUGUAAAAUGGACCAAUCAGCAGGAUGUGGGUGGGGCCAGAUAAGAGAAGAAAAGCAGGCUGCCUGAGCCAGCAGUGGCAACCCGCUUGGGUCCCCUUCCACACUGUGGAAGCUUUGUUCUUUCGCUCUUUGCAAUAAAUCUUGCUGCUGCUCACUCUUUGGGUCCACACUGCCUUUAUGAGCUGUAACACUCACCGCGAAGGUCUGCAGCUUCACUCCUGAAGCCAGCGAGACCACGAACCCACCAGGAGGAACAAACAACUCCAGAUGCGCUGCCUUAAGAGCUGUAACACCGCGAAGGUCUGCAGCUUCACUCCUGAGCCAGCAAGACCACAAACCCACCAGAAGGAAGAAACUCAGGAAAACAGCCGAACAUCAGAAGGAAUAAACUCUGGACACACCACCUUUAAGAACUGUGACACUCGCUGCGAGCGUCUGUGGCUUCAUUCUUGAAGUCAGUGAGACCAAGAACCCACCAAUUCUGGACACAAUUGCACUCUAGCCUGGGCAACAAGAGUGAAACUCCAUCUCGAAAAAAAAAAAAAAAGAGUCUGGAAGGGCCCUUCUGAGUUGUAAUAUUAUGAACUUAAAUUUUGAGGUCCUGAAGUUUUGUUGCAGUGUGAAUGAUAAGAGUAGUCUUUUUUUGAUAUCAUCUGUAGAAGACCCAAUUUUGGGGUUUCAGAUUAGGAAGGGUUUGAUGGUUUUUAGUGGACUAUGAAAAGGUUUUUUUUGGUGAAAAUAUAUUUUGGUAUAAUGUACUAAAGUCUUGUAGUAUUUAGUCAUAAUAGAGUUUAACAGUGGAAGCUA